rnacentral:rRNA from 1 species
AUUGAACGCUGGCGGCAGGCCUAACACAUGCAAGUCGAACGAGUGGAGGACGGGUGAGUAACGUCUGGGAAACUGCCUGAUGGAGGGGGAUAACUACUGGAACCGGUAGCAAAUACCGCAUACCAUCGGGUGUGCCCCGAUGGGAUUAGCUAGUAGGCGGGGUAAAGGCUUCCCUGGUGGACGAUCCAUAGCUGGUCUGAAAGGAUGACCAGCCACACGGGAACUGCGACACGGUCCAGACUCCUACGGGAGGCAUAAGUUGGGAAUAUUGCACAAUGGGCGCAAGCCUGAUGCAGCCAGGCCGCUGGUAUGAAGAAGGCCUUCUGGUUUUAAAGUACUUUCAGCGGGGAGGCGGUACCCGCAGAAGAAGCACCGGCUAACUCCGUGCCAGCAGCCGCGGUAAUAC